rnacentral:rRNA from 1 species
UACGGGGGGAGCAAGCGUUGUUCGGAAUUACUGGGCGUAAAGGGUGUCUAGGCGGCCUUGUAAGUCGGGGGUGAAAUCCACUGGCUCAACCAGUGACGUGCCUUCGAAACUGCUAGGCUUGAGUAUGGCAGAGGAAAGCGGAAUUCCAGGUGUAGCGGUGAAAUGCGUAGAUAUCUGGAAGAACACCGGUGGCGUAGGCGGCUUUCUGGGCCAAUACUGACGCUAAAGCACGAAAGCCAGGGGAGCAAACGGG